rnacentral:rRNA from 1 species
GUAGGGAAUCUUCCGCAAUGGGCGAAAGCCUGACGGAGCAACGCCGCGUGAGUGAUGAAGGUCUUCGGAUCGUAAAACUCUGUUGUUAGGGAAGAACAAAUUUGUUAGUAACUGAACAAGUCUUGACGGUACCUAACCAGAAAGCCACGGCUAACUACGUGCCAGCAGCCGCGGUAAUACGUAGGUGGCAAGCGUUAUCCGGAAUUAUUGGGCGUAAAGCGCGCGUAGGCGGUUUCUUAAGUCUGAUGUGAAAGCCCACGGCUCAACCGUGGAGGGUCAUUGGAAACUGGGAAACUUGAGUGCAGAAGAGGAGAGUGGAAUUCCAUGUGUAGCGGUGAAAUGCGCAGAGAUAUGGAGGAACACCAGUGGCGAAGGCGGCUCUCUGGUCUGUAACUGACGCUGAUGUGCGAAAGCGUGGGGAUCAAACAGGAUUAGAUACCCGAGUAGUCC